rnacentral:rRNA from 1 species
UACGUAGGGGGCUAGCGUUGUCCGGAAUCAUUGGGCGUAAAGCGCGUGUAGGCGGUCCGGUAAGUCCGCUGUGAAAGUCGGGGGCUCAACCCUCGGAUGCCGGUGGAUACUGUCGGGCUUGAGUACGGAAGAGGCGAGUGGAAUUCCUGGUGUAGCGGUGAAAUGCGCAGAUAUCAGGAGGAACACCAAUUGCGAAGGCAGCUCGCUGGGCCGACACUGACGCUGAUGCGCGAAAGCCAGGGGAGCGAACGGG